rnacentral:rRNA from 1 species
AGCAGCCGCGGUAAUUCCAGCUCCAAUAGCGUAUAUUAAAGUUGUUGCAGUUAAAAAGCUCGUAGUUGAAUUUCGGGGUUAGUAGGUUGGUCAUGCCUCUGGUAUGUACUGGUCUCACUGAUUCCUCCUUCCUGAUGAACCUUAAUGCCAUUUAUUUGGUGUUUUGGGGAAUUUGGACUGUUACUUUGAAAAAAUUAGAGUGUUUAAAGCAAGCUAACGCUUGAAUACAUUAGCAUGGAAUAAUGAAAUAGGACGUUCGAUCCUAUUUUGUUGGUUUCUAGGAUUGACGUAAUGAUUAAUAGGGAUAGUUGGGGGCAUUAGUAUUCAAUUGUCAGAGGUGAAAUUCUUGGAUUUAUUGAAGACUAACUACUGCGAAAGCAUUUGCCAAGGAUGUUUUCAUUAAUCAAGAACGAAAGUUAGGGGAUCGAAGACGAUCAGAUACCGUCGUAGUCUUAACCAUAAACUAUGCCGACUAGGGAUCGGAUGAUGCUAAUUUUUAAUGACUCAUUCGGCACCUUAC